AUUGAACGCUGGCGGCAGGCUUAACACAUGCAAGUCGAACGAGUGGCGGACGGGUGAGUAAUGCUUGGGAAUCUGGCUUAUGGAGGGGGAUAACUACGGGAAACUGUAGCUAAUACCGCGUACCAUAGGAUGAGCCCAAGUGGGAUUAGGUAGUUGGUGAGGUAAAGGCUCACCAAGCCGACGAUCUCUAGCUGGUCUGAGAGGAUGACCGGCCAUACUGGGGUAGAGACCCGGCCAAGACGCCUACGUGAGGAAGGAGUGGGGAAGAGGAGGAUAUGGAUGUAAUCUGACGGAGCGAUGCCGCGUGAGUGAAGAAGGCCUUCGGAUUGGAAAGUUCUUUCGGUAGCGAGGCGUUACCUACAGAGGAAGCACCGGCUAACUCCGUGCCAGAAGCCGUGGUAAUAC
rnacentral:rRNA from 1 species